rnacentral:rRNA from 1 species
AGUGAACGCUGGCGGUAGGCCUAACACAUGCAAGUCGAACGGCAGCACAGUAAGAGCUUGCUCUUACGGGUGGCGAGUGGCGGACGGGUGAGGAAUACAUCGGAAUCUACUUUUUCGUGGGGGAUAACGUAGGGAAACUUACGCUAAUACCGCAUACGACCUACGGGUGAAAGCAGGGGAUCUUCGGACCUUGCGCGAUUGAAUGAGCCGAUGUCGGAUUAGCUAGUUGGCGGGGUAAAGGCCCACCAAGGCGACGAUCCGUAGCUGGCCUGAGAGGAUGAUCAGCCACACUGGAACUGAGACACGGCCCAGACUCCUACGGGAGGCAGCAGUGGGGAAUCUUGGACAAUGGGCGCAAGCCUGAUCCAGCCAUGCCGCGUGGGUGAAGAAGGCCUUCGGGUUGUAAAGCCCUUUUGUUGGGAAAGAAAAGCAGCAGGUUAAUACCCCGAUGUUCUGACGGUACCCAAAGAAUAAGCACCGGCUAACUUCGUG